rnacentral:sRNA from 1 species
CUUUUCGGAUGUGCCGGGAGCAGGGGGCGGCCACACAACAGCAGAGGUGGUGCCCGGUUCCCUCUAGACCAGAUGUGAACGAGUGUGCAGACGGUGCCCACCCCCCCUGCCACGCCUCCGCGAGGUGCAGAAACACCAAGGGCGGCUUCCAGUGCCUCUGCGCGGACCCCUACGAGUUAGGAGACGAUGGGAGAACCUGCGUAGAUUCUGGGAGGCUCCCUCGGGCAACUUGGGUCUCCAUCUCGCUGGCUGCUCUGCUGAUCGGAGGCUUGGCAGGUCUCACCUCGACGGUGAUUUGCAGAUGGACACGUGCUGGCACUAAAUCCACACUGCCCAUCUCGGAGACAGGCGGAGGAACUCCCCAGCUGAGAUGCGGGAAGCACCGGGACGCAGGAACCUCACCGCAGCAGGCCGCAGCUCAGGACUCGGAGCAGGAGAGUGCUGGGAUACUCAAAGGCUGCCGAGAGCCCUCUGAGGGCAAAGUGGCAGGACACUGAAUCCUGCAGAACAGCUUCGUGUUCCCAAAAUCACCGUACGACUAUUUUCCAAACACAGGCAAAUCCAAAAUCACCAGGACGACUGUUUUCCAAACACGGGCAAAUCUAGUACUAUGUUGUAAUUACUCUCAGGCAUGGAUGAAUAAAUAUUAUAGCUGCAUCUGUCUGGCCUUUUCUUGUAAACAAACAUUGCCUGAUUUGUUCCUUCUGGGGCUUUGCCAUUAAAAUGUAUUUACAGAUUA